CCUAUGAUUCUGGACCUAUUAUUGACACUGUGGUAACGGAAUCUACGGUGAUGGGCCGAUUUGGAUUGUGAUUUCGACAAAUUGUUAUGGAUGCCUGGAUUAUUUAACUUUGGGAGAGAAAACCCAAAAAAGGUAGAGCUUCUAUACCCAAUUAGGAUUCUACAGCAGGGUUUCAUGGUUGAGAUUCCAAUACAGCUGCUAAUACUCAUUCUUGAUAUGUAUAUACGAGAAUAUGAAGUAAAGGUGCAACCUUAAACACUCUAUCUAUACAGUGUUAUUGUUAUAUGUUA
rnacentral:misc_RNA from 1 species